rnacentral:rRNA from 1 species
AGCGAACGCUGGCGGCGUGGCUUAGGCAUGCAAGUCGAACGUGAAAGCCCGCAAGGGCAAGUAAAGUGGCGAAAGGGUGAGUAAUAUAUCGAUAACCUGCCUCCAAGACGGGGAUAACAGCUCGAAAGGGCUGCUAAUACCCGAUGGUUCUAGAUUGAAGUAUUCGAUCUAGCUAAACGGUUGGUCCUUUGAGGGCCUUCUGCUCGGAGAGGGGUCGAUAUCCUAUCAGCAGCUGGUGAGGUAACGGCCCACCAAGGCAAUGACGGGUAGCCGGACUGAGAGGUCGACCGGUCACACUGGCACUGAGACACUGGCCAGACUCCUACGGGAGGCUGCAGUCGAGAAUCUUCCGCAAUGGGCGAAAGCCUGACGGAGCGACGCCGCGUGCAGGAUGACGGCCU